GAAGAAGGGACAAGAUGGAGGAAGAAGAACAAGAUGGAGCAGUCCCUGUUGUUUCCGGGUUCUUCAUCACAGAUUUUCCCAUGCCCGGGAAAAGAACCAAAUCAACUGAGCAUGAGCAGAGUGACGUCAAGCUGGGGACACCGAAAUUCAAGAAGCCACUCCUACACACACGCCCCAAACUCCUCCCCUUCCAGCUCCCAGGCAUAAAAGUCCUCUGCCGGUAAGCGCCGGUGUCACUUCUUCGGCCCCUGCAUUUGUGGACCGGAGAACAUCACCCGAGAACGCUGGCCCGACUUCCCUGGCCCCCCACACCUGAGGACCAGAGAACCUCACCCGAGAGUGUGUGCAUAUUUGCAACAAAAGAUUGCCACUUUCUUACGUACUUUGGCCUCAUGUUUAAUUAUUUAGCUCUCCUAAAUUAAAUUAAACAAAACAAUUGGUGCCGAAACCCGACCCAGGAGGAGACCCUUCCUCAACAUCCCCUAGGGGUCUAACGAACCUCCUCCACAGCGAACCGGCUCCCAACCCAACCAGCCACGAACACCGAACAAGUGUUCCAGCUUUCCACUGGUGCCGCUCUGAGAAUUUCUUCUAUGGAAGGACAUUGGAAGUCUGAUUGCCCUGCCAGCAGGGCAGGCAUUGCGCCUCAACGUGAGGCCUCUCCUCAAAGGCUGGAAGGCUCCUUCCAGCUCCUACACCUGGACGACGACUGACGGUGCCCACACUCGGAGACCCUGGUCACCCUCACCGAGCCUAGAGUAACUCUACAGAUAGCGGGUGACCAGGUUCUACUUAAGGAUCAACACCCUCCUCAAAUUUUCCCGCUUCCUCACCAUUCUUCAUCUUAACUUAACUGACUUUUCCUUCAUAAACCCCAUAGACACCCUCCUUCCCGACCCAUCCCCCAACCAGUAGGUUUCCCAACUUUUUACUCUCAUAGAAGACCUAGCUUGGCAAGGUGCCCUUUGUGAUUUCCUAAUUCCCAUACUAAUCCUCUGCCUUAUGUUAUGUCUUGCUCCCAUUCUAAUAAAAUUUCUCCGAGCCAGGGUCCAAGAGAUCACCCGAGUCACCUUCAACCAAAUGCUCCUGCAUCCCUACACCCAACUGCCAACCUCAGACCCUAACUACGCCCCUUAACAGCAGGAAGCAGCCAGACAGACCAUGGUGCCCUAAAUUCUUAUAAUCAGUAAGAGGUUGGACUGUUUGGGUGAGGAAGAAGGGACAAGAUGGAGGAAGAAGAACAAGAUGGAGCAGUCCCUGUUGUUUCCGGGUUCUUCAUCACAGAUUUUCCCAUGCCCGGGAAAAGAACCAAAUCAACUGAGCAUGAGCAGAGUGACGUCAAGCUGGGGACACCGAAAUUCAAGAAGCCACUCCUACACACACGCCCCAAACUCCUCCCCUUCCAGCUCCGAGGCAUAAAAGUCCUCUGCUGGUAAGCGCCGGUGUGACUUCUUCGGCCCCCGCAUUUGUGGACCAGAGAACAUCACCCGAGAACGCUGGCGCGACUUCCCUGGCCCCCCACACCUGAGGACCAGAGAACCUCGCCCGAGAGUGUGUGCAUAUUUGCAAUAAAAGAUUGCCACUUUCUUA